UACGUAGGGUGCGAGCGUUGUCCGGAAUUACUGGGCGUAAAGAGCUCGUAGGUGGUUUGUCGCGUUGUUCGUGAAAUCUCACGGCUUAACUGUGAGCGUGCGGGCGAUACGGGCAGACUGGAGUACUGCAGGGGAGACUGGAAUUCCUGGUGUAGCGGUGGAAUGCGCAGAUAUCAGGAGGAACACCGGUGGCGAAGGCGGGUCUCUGGGCAGUAACUGACGCUGAGUAGCGAAAGCGUGGGGAUUGAACAGG
rnacentral:rRNA from 1 species